rnacentral:lncRNA from 1 species
CUUGUCUGUUGUCUGAUGGGAAGAAUGAAGAGAACAGAGCCUUGUAGUGAGCAUCUCUCUCUUCUCCCCCAAUGCAGAUGAAGUGAACUUGCUGGAUAAAAUUACUUCCCAUGCCCAGGACCUCAGCAAUAUUUCCUUUAGCUAUGAUGAAGCCAACUGCAGCAUCCUGGAGAUCGGGCAGUACGCUACCCUUAACAUCCCUACGAGGGAGGCGUUUGGGGACAGGUUUGCAGAUGAGCUGAGUGUGCUGAUGAAGCUCAGGUACUCGCUGAAGGAGGACACCAGCCUAGUGACCAUCCUUAGCCAUCGGAGUCACGUGCUCUUCCAAAUCAGGAUUAACCCAUAUGCCUUGGUCUUUGUCACCACGAGGAGGAGACACUAUGAGUUCCCAGUUUCCUUUCUUGGCGAUGGGCACUGGCACCAAGUUGCUCUCAGCAUCUCCUUGGAGAGGCUGGAAUUGCACGUGGACUGUCGGCUGGUGGACAGAGUGAGCUGGUCCAAUUAUUUCGGGAUGGGAGUGAACACUGAGGGGCUGAUCAUCAUUGGAGGCCUGAUCGAGUCCUUCGAGAUCCCCUUUAAGGGUGCUCUACAGCAACUGACCUUCAUGAUGGGAGACCCAAUGGCUGCCAGCGAGCACUGCCACAGCUACAACUCAACGUGCAAACACUCCUUCAACCUCAAGCGCUUUGGUUCCCCCUGGGAGCUUUCACCAGCUUGGCCAGAGGUGUGGCUGGGGGCAGCUGACAAAUAUGGGGGUUGCUGGCCCAAGCUCCUCUUUGGUAUAA